AACCUUAUGGACCUGCGGGCGUAUACCUGCGGAAGGAUCAUUAGAGAGUGAUCUGGUUUUGCCGAGAGGCUGAGACCGGUUACCCGACCUGAUGUCAUGUGUUUUUGUGUGCUCUGAACGCAGUGGCUGUGCUGGAAUGGCGUAGCCACGGCGUUUUGGCGACAGCAAAACUUCGGCGGAAGCGGCGACAGUCGAUUUGACGGUAGCCCGCCGCCGGCCAUUACUUUCAAAAAGUCUUGU
rnacentral:misc_RNA from 1 species